ACACGUCCCUGGCAGAGGAGACGCCAUGAUCAGCAUGGUGGUUUUCUCUCAAGCCUUCACCUUGAGGUGCAAGGCCCAAUCAGUUGCACUCCAGAUGUGCUGACCCUGUGAUCUCCCCAAGUGCGGAAAACUCAGCUGUAUAAUCUGUGGUAGUGGGUUCAGCAUUCGUGCUCUGCCCUG
rnacentral:snRNA from 1 species